rnacentral:rRNA from 1 species
GAUGAACGCUGGCGGCGUGCCUAAUACAUGCAAGUCGAGCGAACAGACGAGGAGCUUGCUCCUCUGACGUUAGCGGCGGACGGGUGAGUAACACGUGGAUAACCUACCUAUAAGACUGGGAUAACUUCGUGAAACCGGAGCUAAUACCGGAUAAUAUAUUGAACCGCAUGGUUCAAUAGUGAAAGACGGUUUUGCUGUCACUUAUAGAUGGAUCCGCGCCGCAUUAGCUAGUUGGUAAGGUAACGGCUUACCAAGGCGACGAUGCGUAGCCGACCUGAGAGGGUGAUCGGCCACACUGGAGCUGAGACACGGUCCAGACUCCUACGGGAGGCAGCAGUAGGGAAUCUUCCGCAAUGGGCGAAAGCGUGACGGAGCAACGCGGCGUGAGUGAUGAAGGUCUUCGGAUCGUAAAACUCUGUUAUUAGGGAAGAACAAAUGUGUAAGUAACUAUGCACGUCUGGACGGUACCUAAGCAGAAAGCCACGGCUAACUACGU